UACGAAGGGGCUAGCGUUGCUCGGAAUCACUGGGCGUAAAGGGUGCGUAGGCGGGUCUUUAAGUCAGGGUGAAAUCCUGGAGCUCAACUCCAGAACUGCCUUGAUACUGAAGAUCUUGAGUUCGGAGAGGUGAGUGGAACUGCGAGUGUAGAGGUGAAAUUCGUAGAUAUUCGCAAGAACACCAGUGGCGAAGGCGGCUCACUGGCCCGAUACUGACGCUGAGGCACGAAAGCGUGGGGAGCAAACAGGGA
rnacentral:rRNA from 1 species